UUAAGUAGUUUGAGUCUUUGAAGGUUCUACUAACAACAAAUUAAAAAAUGGAUAGAGGAAUAGUACCAUGAAAAAAGUUAUAACUCAAAUCUAGAUAAACGAGUGAAGACAAAUUUCCAAUUUCGUGUGGGAUGCUGCCUUCGAGAUACAUAUGAGAGAUAUCUAAUUCAGUCACCCUGCUACGACGUGAAUCACAAGUAACUCCUAUCCACGUGCAAAACGAGGUUCCACUGCUCCAAUUAUUUUUCAACAUAUUGUAAGGAUCUGAAGUGAUGUGGGAUUUGAAGGCAAGAAGUAUAUAUUCAUCACUUUUGAUUUGAGUUAUGUUGUGUGCAGCAGAGAGGCUAAGACAUGAAAACAAUAAGAGAAGCGAAAGAAGGGAAAAUGGGGAAAAUGCAUCCAUAUUGUGAGUGCUAAUUGUGUGAGAAAACAAGAAGCCUACAAAUGUCAUUUAUAUUCAAAUCUAAAACACUUCUUGUGAGCCUAGAGUUUUGGUGACUGAGAAUUGCAUAAUGUAAAUUUUCCACAAAUUUUGGAAGUCAAUGCAAGUCAUUAUUUUGUCUCGACCCAAAAUUAAUUGACCUAGUCUUCUUUAUGCUCUCAAUAUUGGAGUGUGAUUUGGGCAAAGAAGAAAACUCAUGAAAUUUCAUGUAACGGAAAUAUUAGAGUCUGUUUUCUUUUUUCUUUUCUUGAGAAAAUAUUACACAACAUUUUAAAAAAAAAUUAUUCCACCUCUUUUUGAAGCUGAGAUGUUUGAUUUGUGGUGCAAUAUCUCUCUCUUGUUUGAGUUGGGGGAAUUGUGAUUCGUAAUCGGAUCUCUCAUACCUAUGGAAUGAAAAAUGAAUAAUUAAAUUUCUUAAUUAUAAACAAAUUAUUGGGGAGCCCACAAUGACAUUUUCUACAUGGAAAAUUGCUUUCAAUUAGUAUUUUUUUUAAUGUGAUAAUUUUCAAAAAUUGAUUGAAAGGGAAAUAUAAUUGUUACUUACACGACGGGCACUAGACUUUGACUUAACCAUAAGACUAAAUGUGUAUCACAUGUAUUUUUGGAGGUUUAUAAUUUUCAGAAAUUGAUUGAAAAGGAUAUAUAAUUGUUUCCAUUUGAAAAAGAGAUUUAAGCAAAAGACCAAACGUGCAUCACAUAUUUUUUUAUCUAUUCCCAUCCAUCCAUCCGUGAGUGAUAAGAUUUUGAGUUGUAUGGAAUUGACUGUAGUCAAGCAUUUUAUAAUUUGAUUAAUAGUGUAUAACUUUAUUAUUAUUAUCAAGUAAAGUCCAAGACUAAUUUAUAAUUAAUUAUAAUUGAGUGGUGAUUUAAUUGCGUAUUGAAGAUUCAUGUAGAAAUUAAAUACAAUGUACUAGUGAUGUUAAAACCACCAACGAACCCAUCUAUAGUAUAUAAAAGAAGAGUUUUCUCCCUCUAUUUUUUUCCUCUCUUCUUCCAUUAAAAUUUUAAAUAUUUUUUUCUUUUUACCUUUUUAUAUUGUAAUUAUUUUCUAAAUGUCAUCAAAUUUGAUCAUGAAAAAAUAAUCAAUAUGUAUCAUAAAUUUAAUUUUGUACAAAAAUCAUCAAAAAUGAAUUUAAAAUGAAUAAGUUAUGAAAAUUUAAAAUAUUUUAUUUUAUUUCUCUUCAUUCAAAAUUUAUAGCUUUUUUAUUUAUUAUGAUGAACAACAUAUGUUUACUGAAAAUUUUUAUUAUCGAAUAAUUUUUUAAAUUUAUUUAUUAACUAUAAUUAGCAUUACACUUUGUAUAAAUUGAAUAUUUACAUUUUUAAAUUCAGGAUUUUAUUGAGUAAUUGAUGUGAAUUAUUACAUUUUACUAAAACAUAUUUUGUAUUUGUUUAUAUAUUUUUUUUAUAUGUAUUUAUUUUAUUUAAAUUUAUCGUUUAAUUUCGAUAUCGAUCGUGCAUCACACGAAUGAGCAUAUACUAGUUGCAUCGCCAAUGAGGCUUAGCUCAAGUGGCAAAAUUGAGGUACUCAAUGACUCUCCUUUAUGAGAUGUAUUGGGUUCAAUCCCGCCGGCGUGCGAAUAGUUUUCCAGUUUUUCUCAACUUUAUGUAGGUAGACGUCAUGCCUUCGUGCAUAAUAAAUAAUUUUAGAAAAUAGAGACACGAAUCGAACACAGUGUAUGUAAAUUUAUCAUCAAACACAGAUUUCGACUUCGACAUUUAAUGCUCAAACUAUAUAUAUUAAAUUUUUCCAAAUUUUUCACACGCCCAAAGUUCUAUGGCCCAGUCCAGUUAAGAAAAUGGGUCAACUCGUUUUGGACAACACUUUAUGCUCAAAUUUUUAAUUUUUAAUAGUGUAUUUCUUCAAAUUUGCAUUCAAUUUAUUUUAGUUGCAAAUUUAUCAUUAAAAAAUCCAUAAAUCUCAUCGAAUAACAUAGGAUUAAUUUUCUUGUGCAUAAAAUUAAAAUAAUCACCCAACUUAACAAUGCUAUCCCUUCAUCAAACUAGCUAACUCCUCUAAUCUCUAUUGUCCCCAUUCACAUAUUUCUAGAAACUUUUUCUAGGUUAGUUGAAUUUUGAAAAAAAAAAUCUAUAGAUUGCCUUGAGACUCUACAAGUUGAAAAUGAUGAGUAGUUAAAAAAAUGUGUGUUUAUUAUAUACUAUUAGUCAUUAACUUAACACAUAUCCCAACUAUAAACUUAACUUGUGUUUAAUUUAUUUAGUCAAUACAAUAUUAAUUGAAUCUAUUUAUAUAAGAAAAGAAACUCAUAAAUUUCAUUAACCGAAUUCUUCCGAAGAAGUCUUGCGGGAGAUAACCUCUUAAUUUUCUGAAAAUUGGAUAUGACUUUAAAGGGACAAAUGCCCAUAACAGCAAAAAUAAAAAAUGGAAAAAAAAAUUUUAAAAAGUACAAUGUAGAGAAUAUAAUAAAAAUAACUAAAUUCUAUUUUUAUUUAAAAAAAUAAAAUAAAUAAAUCAAGAUUUUCCUGCAUAGAUUUAUUGAAAAAUUAAACAAGAAUAAAUUUAGUAAUUUGAUAUCAUUGUUUCAAAUAACAAGACUUUUAAGUGCAGUUCCUAACUUCCUAAUGGUUGAUCCUCUCUCUCUCACACACACACAUAAUCACACACAUUUCCUCUCCAGUAAGAAAACAUCUCUCUCUUUCUCUCUCACUCUCACACACACGUAAUCACACAUUUAAUUUCCUCUCCCGUAAGCAAACAUUAAACCAAAUUGUCAGAAUAUAUUUUGACCUAUCACUCAAAUUAUAUACUCUUACAGUCUUACUUCUCCCUUUUUUUAGGGCGAAAAAUGAUGAAACAUAUAUAUUUUCGUAUUUAGGGUGGAUAAUUUUUUUUAGCAAUCUUUUUUCACUCCAAUUAGUGAUAAUAUUUUCCCACAAUUUUCCAUCCUAUAAUAUGAGAUAAAAAAUGCUAAAAUUUCCAAUACGUUCUUAUUCCUCUUUUUCUUAGUUCCUACAUUGGUUGUCACUUCUCGACACUAAGUAAAAAUACUCCCUCCGUCCCAUAUAUAUAGGCUUGUUUUCCUUUUUCGGAUGUCCCAUUUAUAUAGGCCUAUUUCUAUAAAAAGUAAUGUUUUUUUAUUCAUUUACUAUUAUAUUCCUAUUUAAUUCUUUAAUUUACUCUAACUUUAAUAUAUCAUUGAAUAAUAAAUAUGGACAUAUUAGGAAGUUUACUUAUAUAUUUUCAUUUCCAAUGAUUUUUCUUAAUCUUUGUGAAAAUCUCAAUCAGCCUAUGUAUAUGGGCCGGAGGGAGUAUAAUCCAAUGUUUUUUACCAAGUCCAAAAAACGACUUAUGUGAUUCUGAACAAUCUCUCUCUCUCUUAAAGGCCUGGUUCUGAAUUCCAUUCAGUCAGAAUGCCCUUCCUGAUCACACAUUUAAUGGCAGUAUAUACAUUUAUUCUGUCAGAUAUUUGGAUACAUUUUUUUCUAGUUAACUCACUUAAUGAGCUCACCAGCUACUGAGCUGAGUAUGAUCAACAUCUCGAGAUCUAGGAGCUCGACUCGUUUACAGCCCUAACUGCAAUUCAUUUCAAUUUUGUAAGGAAUAAUUAUUUUUACCUUUUUUUGGAAUACAUUAGCCUUUCUUGCAAAGAUUACAAACAACCUAAACGACCUAUUUUCAGGUGUGAUUUAUGAUAACUUGAAAAAAGCUUCUAUAGUAACUCCAUCUCUUAACUGAGUGAAAAGACUCAUCUCGUACCUUCUUCACCGUCGUUGGCUCGUCGGGUGUCGGCUGCAUCCUCCUCCGUUUCCGCCUGCACCACGGCCUUCCUCUUGCUUCCCCUGGUGCCGGAGUACUUGGCAAACGCUGCCUUCAGGGCAGAUCUUACGCUGAUCUCUUCUUCUUUCUUAUGCUCUCUGCUCGUCUCUUGAUUCUCCUUAACUUCCUCGUUUCUUUCACUUACAGACGCGAUAGGAUUUUCAGCAACGGGCGCAGCAGGGUUAGGAACUGCGCGCUUGAACGGCUCAUGGAAAGUAUCGUACAAGCGUCUGACCUGUCGUAGAAAAAAAUGAUGAUUAUCUAAAGACAUGCUCUAGAUAACUGAAACUGCAAUACUAUGAUUGUGUAUCAGAUUUGGACCCAGCAUUGUGCAGGAACCGCAACAAACACAUUACCUACCUUUCUUUCUCCUAUGCCCGGGCAACGGGCAAGAUCUUCCAUUGAUGCGUCCAUGAUAUUGGAAAGAGACUAAAUUUGGUAAAAUUCGAAGUCAGUGCACAAGAACAAAAUCAGUAACCAAUAGAAUCAAGUGCAUAACUAAAAAACCAGAGCCUUACCCCGAAUGUAGACCCAAGAGUAACAACAUCUGUCUUGUUAACAUGCCGGAUUGAUGUGAGUGCAUGAUUUAACUAUAACAGAACAGGAAAUUAGUAUCGGUUAUAUUAUGUUAAUCAGCAGGAAAUAGUUUGUCGAAUGUCAUAAGCUUCCUAACUACGAAAGCUAAUAAACUAUCAAUGAAAUGAGCCAUACCCGUGAAAUGUAGUCCAUAUCCAUCUGUCCCUGAAUGAGAUCGGCAGGUUUAUUUUCAUAAACUUUAAUGGUCUCCAGGUACCGACCACACUCUUCCAAGCUAAAUAAAGAAAAGGAAAAAACCAGUCGGGUAACGUGAAAAAAAUUACAUAAGAAAGGGUAAAAAGAAGGGGGCAAGGGCAUUAGCAGUUUUCGAGUUUCAAAAACCAAUUUCUUCAAUGACACAUUAUUUCUUCAGAUUGAAUGGUUUGCCUACAACACAACCAACAUCCUACAUUAACCACUCUAAAGCAAAAAAGCAUUCUCAUAAUUAUAUAUAGAGAGAGGGAGAUAGAGACCUUGGAUAACAAAUACAAGUCACCAAUUUAUAUGCCGAUAGAGGUUAAAAAAUGCAUUAUAUCAAAUUUUUUUAACUGGCUAAAGAUCACAUUUACAAAAAUAAAAGAAAAAUGCAGUGUGCUAACCCAAGCAUAUAAAAACUGUAGUCUGUAGGUUAACAUAAUGACCAGGUAAUAAUGUUUAGUCAUUUUGAGUCCACAUAACGAAUUACACAUCAACAAUGAGUUUGGCAUAUGCUUAUUAUUGAUUGAACAUAUUGGUAACAGUGCACAACAAAAGUAACUCACCUGUCUAUGGCUUACGAUGAUGGCAUUCCGAUUUGCACCAGCUGAUGAAACUGAAGUGGAUGGAGCUUCAGAAUGAAUGGUUUGCCUAGAAGAUGACAAAAAUAGCUCUUGAUGUAACCAACAUCCUACAUGAACCACUCUAAAGCAAAAAAGCGUUCUCAUAAUUAUACAUAGAUAUAUAGAGACCUUGGAUGGGAUCCUUGAGAGGAUGAAGGGGCAUCUUUGGAGGACUGAGCCACUGGUGCAGACGGCGGGGUGGUGUAAAAUUCAGUGUUUUUGAUAAAAUUGAAAGCUUGAGAAAAGGAGGAGGAAGGCUUGAAUAAAGACUGCGACUUAGGUUGGGCGCUCUCAACCACCUCUUCAUAUGAAGGUAUUUUCACAACAAAUGAUGCAUUAUUCUGUUUCUGCUGCUCAGGAUCACCUCUGUUUUCCAUCUUCACAACUCACUCUCCUAAUUCACCUUUCCAAAAUCCCUCCUUUCUACUUCCUUCAUCAGUUUAAAUCAAAUUUAACAUUAUAAUUUUACCCUACCUUCAGAACAUUCAAUAAACACAUACAACCAAAUCAAUUCAGUAAAAAUUCAGCCUUCACUACAGAAAAUUCUACCGAAUUCUUCCGAAGAAGUCUUACGGGACAAAUCAAAUCCAUGAAUUACAGCAAAUUAACAACGUAAUUUGUUUCAGAAAGUGGUCGCAUAUAAAUCGACCUAAUUUAGAUGAAGAAGGAGAAGUACCUCGAAUGGAAGAGCAGAAGUGAUGGCGGAACAAUUUAGCCGGAACGGAUGAUGCGCACAGCGGCGGCGGCGGCGGAGGCGGCUUGCUUACCGAUGCUCCAGACGGCGGCGGAGAAACGCGGCCAAGGAGAGAAUUGGGAGAAACAAUAUUAAAUAUCAACUGUAAAACUAUUCCAACUUAUCUUGGAUCAAAACGUAUGAAGACUGAAGUAUUAAAAAAGUAAUUUCUACAGUGUUUCACAUACUGAAAAAAUUGUUUGAAGAUAUAUUUGCAUUGUUUCUUGUGGUUUGGUUAGAGUAAUUAGUCAAAGUCCAUAUAUAAUUUACCAUCAACUUGAAAAAAGUGUUACAAUUAGGAUAUUAUUGAGCAUAUUAAUUAACUUCAUAAAACAACAAUCUGAUGUCUGGAAAAGAACAAAAAAGCAAGAAAGAAAAGCUCAUAAUAUAUAUUUGUCUUGAAUCAACUUCUCCUCUGUGUUGGAGUAGCUCUCUUCCUUGUCUUCUUCUUCUUCUUGUUCUUGUUGUAUGUAUAUCCAACACCAAAAAAGAAUUCCACCAACCAUCUUGGCCUUCCAAAUCGAAUAAUCCAACAACCAAUUCCAAUUCCAACUAUGAUUCCACUUCCAUAUCCCAUCACCACACUUCUCCAUCCAAAUCCAUCUAUAAAUCCAUACUCAUCAUCUUCGUCAUCUUGUUCUUCUGGCUGCAUCCGCUGCCCAUUCUCCUCGUUGCAUUUUCUCGUCAACGGAAAUCCACACAAUCUCAAGUUUCCCACAUAUGAAUCAUUCUCGAAUCAUUCAUUGACAGGUUUAAUUUCGCAAGAAAUGUCAACCUCGUCAAUUCACUUGGAAUUCCUCCGUCCAAUUUGUUCGAUGACAAGUCCAAUGAUUCAAGCACACUUAUAUUUCCAAGAGAUGCAGGUAUGUGUCCCAUGAGAUUAUUGUGCGACAAAUUCAAGUAUCUCAGAGAAUUCAGAUUACCUAUGGAAUCUGGAAUACUACCAGAGAAAUUGUUGGAGGAUAAGUCAAUGGUUGUAAAGGUUUUCAACAAUCUCUUCAAUAACUGAUCCAAACCUUUCAAGGUAGUUCUCAUCUCGAAAAAACGAGCUUGAAAUGCGUAAUCAUCACUUGGUGUUUGAUUUUCCUUCACAUCCAUCAUUGCUCUGAAACUCUUGAAAUAUCUUUGAGGUAGAGAGCCCACAAAUGCAUUCCUCGAUAUAUCUAAAACUUGCAACUUAGAAAACGGAAGGUUGCUUCGUGAAGGCAGCAGCAUGUUACCUUCAAACUUAUUAGACUUCAAGACGAGCACUCGAAGCUCAGGAAGAGCUUCCAUCCAAAACGGAAAUUUGUCUCGUAUUCUAUUAUUUCCAACAUCGAGGCCCCUCAGACUUUUGCAAUUGAUUAAGGAUUUCGGUAAUCUUCUUUGCAAUUUAUUGCCACUCAAAUUGAUGGACUGAAGACUACACCCUUUGAUAAAUAUUGAUGGAAUGGGGCCACUAAAGUUAUUUGCAUUUAAAUGAAAUAUGGACAACGAUUUGCUCAAGUUUCGAAAGCAUUGUGGAACUGUCCCUUCCAAACUGUUAUUUGAGAGUAGAAGAAGCUGAAGGGAUGUCAAGUUGCAGAUGGAGGAUGGAAGCUCACCAUUUAAUUUGUUGGAAGAGAGCGAUAAAUACUUCAGAUUUGUUAGAUUCCCAAUGGUGGAUGGUAUUGGACCUGGAAGUUUGAGAAGUCAACAUAAAUAUUGCUUUAGAGACAAUUUGGAUACAUAAAAAAACAUGGCAAUGAAGAAAUACAUUUUAUGCACAUGAAUUAUUUUGAUAGAAAUUAAAUUACCUCUUCUAUUCUUAUAUCACCCACGCAUGUCUCAUAUAUUCAAUGGCAUCUUAAUUUAAUAUAGCAUUCGCUAACAUUGAUCCUUAAAAUUAAUGGAGUUACAAUAUGGCUGGAAACAACAAAUCCAACUAUUGUUAAAGUAUUUAGUUAAUUAAUCACGAGUUAAUUAAAUGAGAACAACCUAGCAAGUUGAGAAAUCAAAGAUUAAUUCAAAAUUAGAUAAGUCAUCCUUUUCUAUCUCAUAUUGCAGAUGGAGUGACAAAGGAAUUAGACAAAUCGCAUAUCUUAUAAGAACACACGUUAGGCAAAUUUCCUUGCAAUUUAUUAACACUCAAAUUGUUAGACUCAAAAAUACGCCCUCUCAUAAAUAUUGAUGGAAUGGGGCCACUAAAGUGAUUUGCAUUUAGAUGAAAUAUGUCUAAAGAUUUCCAAACUGUUAUUUGAGAAAAUAAGAAUUUGAAGGGAUGUCAUGUUGCACAUGGAGAAUGGAAGCUCACCAUUUAAUUUGUUGGAAGAGAGUUGUAGCAACCGCAAAUUGGAUAGAUUCCCAAUGGUGGAUGGUAUUGGACCUAAACAUUAAAGAACCCUUCGUUUCAAUCGCUUUAAAGAUAGAGAUGUAAAGCACUCAGAUCUUUUGACACAAAUUAGCUAAGUCAUACAAUUCGAAAAAAAGUGUUUUCUAUUUUUUUUUUUUUAAAUAUUCAUUCGUGUUCUAUUUCAUAUUGUGCAUGCAUUGGCAAAGGAAUUAGACAAAUCGCAUAUCUAAUCUUACCAAAUGUAAAAUAUUAAAAAGANNNNNNNNNNNNNNNNNNNNNNNNNNNNNNNNNNNNNNNNNNNNNNNNNNNNNNNNNNNNNNNNNNNNNNNNNNNNNNNNNNNNNNNNNNNNNNNNNNNNNNNNNNNNNNNNNNNNNNNNNNNNNNNNNNNNNNNNNNNNNNNNNNNNNNNNNNNAGAUAAUUUGAAAUAUCUUUUCAACAAAUGUAUCUAAAACCAACAAAUUAGGAAAUGGACGACAGAUACUUUAUGUAAUUGAACUAAAGAUGGCCACAGAUUUGCUAAAGUUUUCAUAGCAUUGUGGAAUUUCUUAUUCCCAAGAUAUAUACAUAAUCAAUCUCUUUGAUUGCCAAGUCGUAAAAGAAUCGACCACAAAAAUAAUAAGUAUUAGAACACUAUAUUUAAUGGUUCGUUUUUUGCAGUUUGAAUACAUUAUUAGGUGAAUAUUAAAUGGUAAUUGUUCAAUCCAAAUAAUUUUGACUCUGUUCAAUUUAGUCUUGGCAAUGGUUCAAUUAAGUGGGGCCUCUGAUAUUUACAAAUUGGUUUUCAGUUGUUAAAAUAAAAUUAAAAAGUCAUUUUUUUUAUCAAAGCAUAUAUACGGUUUAUUGCUAAAACAUUAAUGUACAAGAAUUUAUAUCUAACCUAUUCAGUGUAGAGUCAUAUAUAGUUAAUCUAACCAAUCCAAAAUCAUAAUUAGUAUUAGAAAAUUAGUUAGUGAUGUGCUUUUUCUAAUUAUAUGAAAGUGAAUAUAAAUUGUCAUAUGGGCUAAUUUUGACUCCAUCAUAUCCCGCCCAGUCACCCCACGCCCAUCCAUGCAUAAUGUUUAAAGAGCAAAAAAUAGGACCAAAAAUUGAAGAUAAAUAUGAUUAACUCUUGGCUUAUUAGAAAUAACAAUAAAGGUAUAAAUACCUAAAUAGCUUCGGCAUAGAUUUUAAGAAUUUUGUUAAGUGUAUUUUGACCAUAUUUUACGGACUCCAGAUGAAAUCAACUUAGAUAAUUGCAUUAUAAUGUGAGUGGAGAAAUGGUCCACAUUGAUUGUGAUGUUUAAUGAGAGGAUUAUUUAUAAAUGGACUAUGCAUGUUUUUAUGGGACGGAACAAAAAUAAAAACUAUGCAUGUUUUUACUGUUAGAUUGAGCAUCUGAAUAAAGAAUCAGUAUUAAUAAAGUUGAAAGUAAAAUGAGAAAAGAAUAAUUAAAUUGCUUAGCUAUAUAUACAUCAUGUUACCGAGGAACUGCAUGCAGAACCUCAUUAGAGGCAAGAACAACCUUUAAAUUUCUUUGUUUAAUAUUGUAACUUUAUAAAAGCAAAUAAAAAUAAUUAUUAUAUUUCUUAACUAUAAAAAAAUUAUUGGGGAGCCCUAUGGCAUCUUCUAUAUGGAAAAUUGCUUUUAAUUAUUUUCCUUGGACGUGAUGAUUUUCAAAAAUCGAUUGAAAGGGAAAUAUAAUAUUCAUCUCAUACACGACGGGCAAUAGACUAUGACUUAAGCAUAAAACUAAAUGUGUAUCACGUAUUUUUUUCAAUUCCCAUGGUUAGUUAUGUACGAUAUAUAUACCAAACUCUUUCACUAAAGUUUUGGCUUAAAGAGUAGUGCAGACAUACCAUUUAAAGAGGCGCUGCUGAGGUCUAGUUGACGGAGACUUGUGAUGUUCAAAAUUUGUCUUGGAAAUGGUCCACUAAGAUUGUUGUAACUCAUCCUUAAUAACUCUAGAUUAUUAAGAUUACCAAUCUCUUUUGGAAUACCACCUGCGAAAUUGUGUUAAAUCAUGAAAGCUCGAUCUGAAUCAGGCAAAAACAUAUAUUACAAAUAGUAUGACCUCCAAAAUCAUAAGUAUUAGUAGAAAAAUAGUUAGUGAUGUGCUUUUCCUAAUUAUAUGAAAGUGAAUAUAUCAUAUGGGAUAAAUUGUAAACAAUUCCAUUUAGAUCGAUGCAAAUUGAGUCAAUAAUAGAGAGAGAGAGAGAGAAAGAGAUAAUAAUAAUAAUAAUAAUAAUAAUAAUAAUAAUAAUAAUAAUAAUAAUAAUAAUAAUAAUAAUAAUAAUAAUAAUAAUAAUAAUAAUAAUAAUAAUAAUAAUAAUAAUAAUAAUAAAGUCCACCUGUGAAAUUGAGCCCACCAACAGUAAUGCAUGAGCAAUAGUAUUAAUUAAGUUAAGUGGUCUCUCUGAUAUUUACGAAUUGGUUAUAAGUUGUUAACAUAAAAUUAAAAAGUCAUUUAUUUAAUCAAAGCAUACGGUUAAUUUAUUGCUAAUUAAGGUUAAUUAUCCUUUGUUCACUGACAAUCAUAUUAAUGUUAAACAGUAAAUUGUAAACCGAGUCAAAGCAGUAAUAUACAAUGUUCAAAGAACAGAAAAUAGGACAGAAAAGUGACGAUAAAUAUGAUUAACAAUUGGCUUAUUAGAAAUAACAAUAAAGAAAGAGUAAUGACAUACCUGCAGUUAAAGAGAUGUUGGCAAUGUUUAAUUCACGAAGAGUCGUGACAUUCCAAAGUUGUCUUGGUAAUCGUCCACUGAGAUUGUUGUCGCUCAUGCUCAAUACCUCUAAAUAAUUAAGAUAACCAAUCUCUUUCGGAAUAUCACCUGUGAAAUAAGUAAUCGGGUCUCUUAGGCUCAUGGAAUGACAAAUGAAUAAUUAAAUCUCUUAACUAUAAAAAAAAUUAAUGGCAUCUUCUAUACGGAAAAUUGCUUUCAAUUAUUUUUCUUGGAUGCAAUAAUUUUCAGAGUCAGGGGAUUUUUUAGGACAAUAACUUAUGUUGAUUUGGAAAUUAGGACAAAAACUUUUGAAUUUGUAAAAAUAGGACACUAAUUUUUUUUAGAGUAAAAAUAGGACACUAAUUAAUAAGCGUCGUAAAAAUAUGACAUUUCUCGGCUGAUAAUUGGCCGAAAAAUGUCAUGUGGAUGCAACACUUAUUAAUUAGUGUCCUAUUUUACUCUUAAAAAAAAAAGUAGUGUCCUAUUUUUACAAGUCCGAAAGUUAUUGUCCUAAUUUCCAAAUCAAUCUAAGUUACUGUCCUAAAAAACCCUCGAACUCUAAUUUUCAAAAAUCGAUUGAGAGGGAAAUAUAAUCAUCUCUUACACGACGGGCAAUAGACUUUGACUUAAGCAUAAGACUAAAUGUGUAUCACAUAUUUUUUCUAUUUCUCAUGGUUAGUUAUGAUAUACCAAACUCUUUCACUAAAGUUUUGGCUUAAAGAGUAGUGCAGACAUACCAUUUAAAGAGGUGCUGCUGAGGUAUAGUUGACGGAGACUUGUGAUGUUCAAAAUUUGUCUUGGAAAUGGUCCACUAAGAUUGUUGUAACUCAUGCUUAAUAUCUCUAGAUUAUUAAGAUUACCAAUCUCUUUUGGAAUACCACCUGUGAAAUUGUGUUAAUUCAUAAAAGCUCGAUCUGAAUCAGGCAUAAAGAUAUGUUACAAAUAGUAUGACCUCCAAAAUCAUAAGUAUUAGUAGAAAAAUAGUUAGUGAUGUGCUUUUCCUAAUUAUAUGAAAGUGAGGAUAAAUAUUAUAUAAUUAGUACGCCUUCUCGUGCAUCGCGAUACACGAACUAAAGUGAUUGUUGGCCAAUAUUUUAAUCCAAAGAAAAUUUGGUGACGGUCGCCGAAGAGAAAUAAACUCGAAGAAAUAAAAUGUGAACGUCAAUGGGGGAAGUUGUGGAUAUAAACAAAAGGUGUGUUGAUAAUUAUUGUUUACGAUUAUCUUAGAUAAAUAAAAAUAACAUAAGUAAGAUUUUAGGAUAUCUCAAGACCUUCAUAAAUACUAUUACGUGAGCUAAUAUCCCAUUACAAGGGUGGGACUAAAAAAAUUCAAAUAAUGAAAAUAAAAAUAUCCAUACAUCUUAUCAAUUAUGAAAUGUAAAUUAACAUUGUCCAACUAUAUGAAAUUAAAUGAAUGUAUGUAUGUAUCUCUUGUGAUAUUUUGAGUACUUAACGUGAUCUUUCAAAACUUGUUGAACCUAUAAUGGUUAUUAGAUUCAAUAAAUCUAUGAAGCCACAUUUUGGUCACCCACAAUUUAGUUGAAUAGAAAAAAUUUCAAUUAAUUUAAUAGAAUUUAGUUGUUUUAUUGUAUUAUCUAUAUUGUAGUUAUUUUUUUGUCAUCUUUUAUUUUUAAUUUAUUUUUUAAUAAAACUAAAAAAGUUACAAAAAAUUAUAAAAACUACAAUGUAGAGAAUAUAAUAAAAUAACUAAAUUUUAUUUUUAUUUUAAAAAAUAAGUUAAAUAAAUUAAUAUUUUUUCUAUUUAAGUUAAAUUAUUAGUAUAAAGACAAGACCAUACCUUUCAAAUUGUUCCAACUAAGGUAUAAUUCCUCAAGCUGUGUGAUGUUCCCAAUUUCUCGAGGGACAUUUCCACCAAAGUUGUUCCUUGACAAGUAAAUAAUCUCAAGUUGUGUACAUUGACCCAAACUCAAUGGUAUAUCUCCCUCCAAUUUGUUCGCCCACAGGCUAAGUACUUUGAGUCUUUGUAGGUUGUUAUGCGAGCAAAUGUCUUUUGGUAGGCGGCCUGAUAUAAAGUGAAUGAGUUAAAGUGAUUGUUGGCCAAUAUGUUAAUCCAAAGAAAAUUUGGUGACUGUCGGCGAAGAGAAAUAAACUCAAAGAGAAAACAAUGCAAAGCUUGAAAACAAAGCAUGAAAUUGAAUGACGUUAUAUAUCAUCAAUUGAUUUCGAGAUUAUCAGUUAAAUUAUUAGUAUAAAGAUAAGACCAUACCUUUCAAAUUGUUUCCAUCAAGGUAUAAUUCCUUAAGCUGUGUGAUGUUCCCAAUUUCUCGAGGGACAUUUCCACCAAAGUUGUUCCUUGACAAGUAAAUAAUCUCAAGUUGUGUACAUUGACCCAAACUCAAUGGUAUAUCUCCCUCCAAUUUGUUCGCCCACAGGCUAAGUAGUUUGAGUCUUUGAAGGUUGUUAUGCGAGCAAAUGUCUUUUGGUAGACGGCCUGAUAAAGUAUUAUGCUAUAAAAUACACCCUCCGUACGCAAAAAAAUAUAUAUAUACCUAAAUAGCUUCGGCACAAAUUUUAAGAAUUUUGUUAAGUGUAUUGUGACUAAAUUUUACAAACUCCAGACGAUAUAAUCUCACAAAUCAGCUUAGAUAAUAGCAUUACGGAAAAUAAUACUAUAACUUAAUUUAAAUUACAAUUUAAAAUAAUUCCACGUCAAAAUACUCACUAGUUUUUUAUAGUUGGAGACUAUAAUAUACCAAAUCUAGAUUUAGGUGUAUGCCCGAUUUUAUUGUUAGAUUGAGCAUCUGAAUAAAGAAUUAGUAUUAAUAAAGUUGAAAGUAAAAUGAGAAAAGAAUAAAUAAAUUGCUUAUAUACAUCAUGUUACUGAGGAACUGCAGAAUAUCAUUACGUUUAAACCGAAUAACAUUAUCAACCAAUUUCUGGAUUAUCAAUAGAAAUGAAAUGGUAAGGUAUCAAACUUGUUAAAUUCUCAGUAUAGAGAUAAGAACAUACCUCUCAAAUUGUUGGAACUAAGGUCUAAUACCUUAAGCAGUGUGAUAUUCCAAAUUUGUGCAGGCACAUAUCCACUAAAGUUGUUGCUUGACAAGCCAAUACUCUCAAGUUGUGGACAUUGGUACAAACUCGAUGGUAUAUCUCCUUGCAAUUUGUUAGACGACAAGUCAAGUAGUUUGAGUCUUUGAAGAUUGUUGUGCAUGCAAAUGUCCUUUGGUAGCCGACCUGAUAGGAUUACCAUAUAAAUAAAUAGAUUCUACUAACUACAAAUUUAAAAAUGGAUGAAGAAUACAACCAUGAAGAGAGUUUCCACUCAUAUCAAGAUAAGCGAGUGAAGAAAGAUUUCCAAUUUCCUGUGGAAUGCUUCCUUCGAGUUCCAUAUAAGAGAGAUCUAAUUCAGUCACCCUGCUACGACGCGAAUCACAAGUAACUCCUAUCCAUGUGCAAAACGAGGUUCCACUUGUCCAAUUAUUUUUCAAAAUAUUGGAAGGAUCCGAAGUGAUGUGGGAUUUGAAGGCAAGAAGUAUAUAUUCAUCACUUUUGAUUUGAGUUAUGUUGUGU
rnacentral:lncRNA from 1 species